GGAUAGCUCAGUCAGCAGAUCAUGAGACUCUUAAUCUCAGGGUUGUGGGUUUGAGCCCCAUGUUGUGCA
rnacentral:tRNA from 1 species